AAGACCGUUGGGGAGUUCAGAUGACAAGGGAAUAUGCCAUAGGAUCUGUGUGGUCCAAGACAUGCUGGAAAGGGAAAGGCACUUUCACUUUACAGCCUUAUCCACACAAGAAUCCAUCAUGUCACUUGAUUCAAACUGAAGCGAUCCAAUCCAUUCAAGCCAGCCUGUCCGAGCUGUAUCUUCAGCCAAUAAAGAGACAUCACUCAGAUUACAUUGACCAGCCCAAGACUCAAUCCUAGGCGUCCAUAUUCUAAAGCAAGUUCAACCAUUAGAUGUAGGUUUAUGAUUUGUAACCUGCAUUGUAUUUAAAGACCCAAAGGGGCGUCUUUUUAUCUCCUAAGAGAGUAAGGGGGAUUUCCCCUCUCCACUUCAUGAAUCAUAAACUUGUUCUAGAAUCUAAAACCCUAAUCUCUAAUCUCUUAUUCUCCUAAUCUCUCAGUCUCUUAAUCUCUGUUCCUAAGUCUCUUAUUCUCUCAUAUACACUCUCAUCAAUCUCUCUUUCUAAAUCACCUAGAGCAAGCUCUCAUCUUUCUCCAUUGGAGUUUAUACACACACACAUACAACCAGAGAAGAGAACUCUACAAAUCUCAUAUUGAUGGCCAUUAAAAUCACUUGAUAUCACCAAAGAAUGUUAAAAUGUUGUUCUGUAUAGGAAAUUAUCAAAAUAUUAGUAGCAGAAUCGGUAAAAUAUGAUAUCUGAAUUGGUAAAACCACGCGUCUAUUAUCGGGUGGUCAAAGCGUUUUGUGGAUCCUCAAAGGAUCCAAGUUGGAAUCCGUACCACACCAGAUUUUCACAGCAAGGAAUCAUCGGGGCUUUCACAUUCUCUCUUCGGAGAAUAGUUUACCAUUUUUAAAAAAAUAUGAUAUCUGACCCCCACAAAAUUAGGGUUUGAUUCCCACCAAUGACUCCUUAAAUUUGUUUGAACGCAGUCAGAUUUAAUACUGGGUCCACCAAGGUCUCGAACCCGACUCCUGGUCGACCAUGGGCGCAUCCCCUCCGCGGCGUGAACCCACGUUGCUCCUCUCGAAGCUGUGGCCUUUGUCUCUUUCCGGUGUUGCAGUCAUCGCGCUAGGCCGUAUCUCAGCGUUCAGUCUAUAUGAGAUCUUGCCUCACGGUGGUUGUCAAGUCGUUGCGACUCCAUGAAAGCACGAUUCACCACCACAGCUCUCCUUCCAACUUGUUUCCGUCUUUGUCGUGUUCUCAGCUCUCACCGCCACGUCGGUCGGGAGUGUUGACUUGAAGAAAGAAAUGGAGCCAAAGGAGAAGUAUUGAGUAGAUUGGGUCUGGUGCAAAGAUAGGGACAUGAUCUUAAGAGAUUGUCUAUCAAGGCUUCAUGAAGGUUUAGAGAAGUCUAGAAGUAUCAUGAAGCCUGUGCAAAGAUAGGGUUUAAGUCCAGGAGGGACUUAGACAUCAUUUAGAGAAGCUUGGACGAUAUGUGCAGAGUUAGGGCGAGGUACGGACAGGCGAUCCGUACCAUCGACCGUACAAAGCAGCAAUGGCCGUACUAAGCUUAUCUGAGCGAUCAAGAGAAGUGCAAGCUUAGGGCGUGGCUUACUCGGAGUAAUAAGACCGUUGGGGAGUUCAGAUGACAAGGGAAUAUGCCAUAGGAUCUGUGUGGUCCAAGACAUGCUGGAAAGGGAAAGGCACUUUCACUUUACAGCCUUAUCCACACAAGAAUCCAUCAUGUCACUUGAUUCAAACUGAAGCGAUCCAAUCCAUUCAAGCCAGCCUGUCCGAGCUGUAUCUUCAGCCAAUAAAGAGACAUCACUCAGAUUACAUUGACCAGCCCAAGACUCAAUCCUAGGCGUCCAUAUUCUAAAGCAAGUUCAACCAUUAGAUGUAGGUUUAUGAUUUGUAACCUGCAUUGUAUUUAAAGACCCAAAGGGGCGUCUUUUUAUCUCCUAAGAGAGUAAGGGGGAUUUCCCCUCUCCACUUCAUGAAUCAUAAACUUGUUCUAGAAUCUAAAACCCUAAUCUCUAAUCUCUUAUUCUCC
rnacentral:lncRNA from 1 species